GACAGAGGGUGCAAACGUUGCUCGGAAUCACUGGGCGUAAAGGGCGCGUAGGCGGGAAUGUAAGUCGGGCGUGAAAUCCCCCAGGCUCAACCUGAGAACUGCACUCGAAACUGCGUUUCUUGAGUAUCGGAGAGGAAAGCGGAAUUCCUGGUGUAGAGGUGAAAUUCGUAGAUAUCAGGAGGAACACCAGUGGCGAAGGCGGCUUUCUGGACGGUAA
rnacentral:rRNA from 1 species